UACGUAGGGUGCGAGCGUUAAUCGGAAUUACUGGGCGUAAAGCGUGCGCAGGCGGUCUGUUAAGACCGAUGUGAAAUCCCCGGGCUUAACCUGGGAACUGCAUUGGUGACUGGCAAGCUAGAGUAUGGCAGAGGGGGGUAGAAUUCCACGUGUAGCAGUGAAAUGCGUAGAGAUCCGGAGGAACACCAGUGGCGAAGGCGACACGCUGGGCCGUACCUGACACUGAUGCGCGACAGCAUGGGGAGCAAACAGGG
rnacentral:rRNA from 1 species